rnacentral:rRNA from 1 species
CAGCCGCCGCGGGAAUACGUAGGCAGCAAGCGUUGUUCGGAAUUACUGGGCGUAAAGAGUGUGUAGGCGGUGCUCUAAGUUCGGUGUGAAAUCUCCCGGCUCAACUGGGAGGGUGCGCCGGAAACUGGAGUGCUCGAGCGUGGGAGAGGAAAGCGGAAUUCCUGGUGUAGCGGUGAAAUGCGUAGAUAUCAGGAGGAACACCUGUGGUGUAGACGGCUUUCUGGACCAUUGCUGACGCUGAGACACGAAAGCGUGGGUAGCAAACAGGAUUAGAUACCCCGGUAGUCCCUGUCUCUUAUAC